rnacentral:rRNA from 1 species
AACCCUUUGUUGUCCGACUCUGUUGCCUCCGGGGCGACCCUGCCUUCGGGCGGGGGCUCCGGGUGGACACUUCAAACUCUUGCGUAACUUUGCAGUCUGAGUAAACUUAAUUAAUAAAUUAAAACUUUUAACAACGGAUCUCUUGGUUCUGGCAUCGAUGAAGAACGCAGCGAAAUGCGAUAAGUAAUGUGAAUUGCAGAAUUCAGUGAAUCAUCGAAUCUUUGAACGCACAUUGCGCCCCCUGGUAUUCCGGGGGGCAUGCCUGUUCGAGCGUCAUUUCACCACUCAAGCCUCGCUUGGUAUUGGGCAUCGCGGUCCGCCGCGUGCCUCAAAUCGACCGGCUGGGUCUUCUGUCCCCUAAGCGUUGUGGAAACUAUUCGCUAAAGGGUGUUCGGGAGGCUACGCCGUAAAACAACCCCAUUUCUAAGGUUGACCUCGGAUCAGGUAGGGAUACCCGCUGAACUUAA